rnacentral:lncRNA from 1 species
GGACGGGGCCUCUGCAGGAUUCCAGGAAGCAUAUCACUGUAUUGUGAAAAUCCAUGUUUGAAAAUUCUUAAAAACGCCAACUUUUUUUGUUUCUUGGGAGAUUAUAGAUUGGGCGCUCCAAUUAUAAGCAGAACUGUUCUCCUCUUAAACCUGCGAUCAGAUGACCUCUUGUCAAUUUGAUAAGGUUACUUGUGCGUCAUAGCAAAAGCAGGAGGAAAAGAAAAGACUGUCAAUUAUGGAAAUGCAAGGACAUCCACUAAUCAGAUCAAUUCUAGACUGUCAAUUAUGCUUUUUCUCAAGAUCAGUGUAGUAGAAUAUUGCAAUAAUUGCUCUCUCCAUUUAUGAUUAAGUUAAUUGAAUUAAAGUUAAAAAGGGGACAAUCCCACGACACGCACGACGGUAAUAUUAAAGAAUUAGUAGCUUUUAGUAAGAUCACAUAUUAUUGAUAAAAAUGGAUCUGCUGCUGUAGAAGUAGAACAGAGGACAGGAUGAAAAAAGACAAACAAAAUGGAGCUUUGGAAACCUCUGGCCCAGGUCCCCAUACAGUAAGUACUCCUAUCAGAAUAAGCAAUACAUGAAAUACAUACAUAUAUAAUAAUCUGACAGCAGUCGUAGAUUUCUUUUUGUUGAGAAUCGAAGGACGCUGGAUUAAAUCGCAAAAGACAAGUGAGUGACAACACAUCAUAUCGUAUUGUACCUCUAGAAGAAGUGUCGGUGCUCCAGACUGAGUCCACAUUACUCUACUGGGAAAGUAGCAGUGGAGGAGGAGGAGUCCCCCAUUCCCAUUCCUUUCCUUCGCGAAGGGCUGCUGCAAACUGUGUAGCAUCUGAGGUUGUGACUCACAACUACUUCAAUCAAAUGCGACAAUAUCCCAAGGACACGUUACGAAAGCAGCAGCAGCAUUUCUAUUACAGUUUUGUAUUGUAUGUUGUUAGUGAGAAGUCCAUUUCACCAAGCAAAAAUCAUCUCGAGGACAGUGACAAAUUGUCAAUAUUAUAUUAAUUGAUUCUUUGUAUUGCUCCAAGUUUCGUAUGCACAACUCGAGAAAUCAAUCUUAAACUAUGGUCUCGAUUGUUUGAUGAUUUUCUUUUCCCUCUACGUCUAUUCUGUUACAAUUUUUUUUUUUUUUUUUUACAACGAUAGAAUUUUUAUAACCUAAUCUAAAGAAAAAAAAAAGAAAAUUCGAUGUGAAUAGAGAUUCCAUCGAAAAAGGUCAAUUAAAACCGCCAUAUAUAAUAACAAAUUGAUGAGAAAAAAUAGUUGAACCUUGAACUCCCAUAUCAUCACGCCAAAGGUCCGGUGGCAUUCUAUUCUCUUGCAUUCUAUGCUCGUUUUUUUUUCAAACAAUGGCUUAGAAUUUUAUGGUAAGAGAAGGCAAGAAGCAUUAAGAUGGGAGAGCAGCUUAAUGAGCAAAUGUUAUGUGAAGAACUUACAUAUGGACUUUUUAAUUCCACAAAUUAAAGAACGGAGUACAAUUGUUAUUAUUGCUACUGUUAUAUCCCAUAAUAAUGACAAAGAUAAUGACCGUUAUUGUGAAACUAUCACGUGAGGUGCACACAUACGUGGAUCCAAGUUUUAAGUAAUAUUAGUUGUAUUAUUAUUGCAAUGAAAAGAACAUAAAAAGUUUAGUAUAUUCCAACCUUUUAAAUCAUUGUUCUUUAUGAAUUGAGAGCGACCAUCAAUCAUGAUGAAUCAAUGUGAGACUAGAACGGCCAUCUCAUUUGGUGGUGGUGUCCUUUUUGAAUUUGCACCAUUUGUUAUAUCAGACAAUAAUAUAUGUUUCAUUUUUGCAGUCGCUUUCACAAUAAUGAAAAUUCGGUUUCACUUUUGAAUUUCAUAAAACCAAACCCAUACCCUUUUCUUCAUCAUAUUUUAGAGUGGGUAUUUAAUUACCCCCCCCCCCCUCCUUCCCCCUCCCCACCACCAAAAAAAAAAAAAAAAGACUUUGAAUGCAAAGUAUGUUGAACAAUAAUGAUUUGGUAGAUUGAGGGCGAAAUGCUUAUAAAAGACGCCAUUGACUAUAUAGGUUAAAUUUUCACCAUCAAGCAUCUUCUUAAUUUUAGGACCUUGUUUGGAUUGCUGGUUUUCGUCGAAAAAUUACGUCGCUUUCCGUGAUUACUGGUCUGUUUGGAUUGGACUUUAUUUCCCCAAAUUUAUUUGCUUACAUCAUCAUUACAAUUUUCAAUACACCUUUUUACCUUCCCAAUUACCUUUUUAUCUCACAUACAUCAUAUUACAAAAAGUGCUACAGUAAAAAUAUCUCUAAUAAUUCACAAUCCAAACAGAUCUGUAACAUUUCCCUAUUACCUUUUUCCCUCAAAUACAUCAAAUAGCUAUAGUAUUUUUUCCAUGAAAAAUCACGGAAAAUGCAAUCCAAACACAACCUUACAUUUCUUGAAAGUUAUACCUGUGAUGGAUAGAUCAUAGUCGAAAAUGCAUUUGUUUCUUGACUGAGAAAAAAGUUGCCAGGAUUUUCAAACUUGAUGCCUUAUAUUUGACGUAUAAUGAAUUCGACACUACCAACUAAUGGUUUUAACGCUAACAAUUAGUACCUCAAAGAUAAAGCUGGAUGACUGAUUUCGACGCUAACAUAAAUUGCAUGCAUGAUACCCUUACAUGCAAAAUUUGAAGGACAAUAAACAAACUUCAAAAAAUUGUAAAACAAAAUAGAAUUCCAAAUUCCAUUUCCAUCACGAUGGUUUUUUUUUUUAAAAAUCUUUUUGGUGAUAUGUGGGGCCUUGGAAAAAAAUCUUGAAGGACAACAAACAAACAGCGGACCGAAAGUUGUGAAGGUGAGGCCCUGUCCCGUUAACUAAUCAGAGCCAAGGCAGUGAGCUAACACAGUCACAGCCGGUGAAAGUAAGGUACUCACAGUCCCAAAGGAGGAAAUCAUCAGGGACAGACGACUGACGUGGCGAGAAAAACCCACCGCUAUCGUUGACCUCCAAUCUCGGGCGAGACUGUCGGUAAUCUCGUUCCACGAACUGACCCACAGAGAAAAAAAAAAUAAAUUUUUGUUGUUUUCUUUUUCAAUUUUAAAAUUUUUUUUCAAUUUUUGAUACAGCCCCUUGAUUAUCAAUUUUUUGAGACAGACCCAUAAAAUUUUGCUUAUGCAUUCAGAUUCACCACAUAGUCUUCCUUCUUCUCGCGUUUGUAACAUUUUGCAGUCAUUUCGUUUUCUGUCAUAAGAGAAAAAUAUAAUUUUGGUACGGGGACUAGUCUAGUCACCAAAGUUCGGUCCAAAGUAAAUCCACUCUCUAAUGUUUCUAGUUUGGAAUACAUUUAGGAUCAUGACACGAUUUUUAUUUUUUUUUAAAGGAUGGAGAAAGAAACAACUUGGUGUAACAUUAAUUUUAUCCUCGUGGUCGUAACAUUUUGCAGUCAUGUUAUUUUUCCUUGUAUAGUUUCCUUAUAAAUAGUCAAGUCAAUAAAAUUUCGUUUAGUUGACUAGUUGAUAAUGGUGAAAACAACAACUUUAAUUACCAUAAUUAUUUCUCCAUUUGAACCAAAAACACAGGAGGAUUCAGAUAAAGGUUAAAAAAAAAGUACGGAUCGGGUAUAAGAAUUUAUUGGAUCCUAAUUCCCAUUUCCCUCUUAGGUUGCACGUGCAAAUCAAACAUAUAGGGAAGCUUAUCUAAUUGUUACCAAAAAUAAUUAUUAUAUUAUAUAUUGACGUGGUUGCAGUUGCAUUAUUGUGUUAGAUGAUUUUUGUGGGCUCCAUUUUCCUUUUACUAAGCUAUAGAUGUCUUGUGAGACAAGAAAUGAGGAGCUUUCUCAAAAUACUACUAAAUUUGAAGUAUAUAGCAUGCUACCAGAAAUUCUACGUUCUUUCCCAUUCUUUCUUUCUUCUUGUGAAAAAGAAGAAAAGUAGUAGUGGUAGUAGUAGUAAGAGUAAUAAUUAAUAAGAAUUUGAGACCACACACAUGAAUUCUUGAAUUUGUAGUAUUGGCAUCUUCCUAGUUCCAACUUCCAAGUUCCUACCCACCAUCACCAACACCAACACCAACACCAACACCAACAAAAAAUAGCAAUCGAGCCACGAACCAGCAAAAUCUUAGCUGGAAGCAUAUGAGCCUUGUCAACCCUGGCCUAUUUUUUUAAAGUAAUUGUUACCCAACUCAUAUAAUAUACUUCUUCUACUCAAAAAACUACACUGCACUAUUGCUCCUCCACUCCCGUAGCCUGGACGACGGACUUGUGAGUUGUGAUGCGAUCCCAGCUUCUUCUUCCGCUUUCUGCUACUGUUCUAAUUUUCACCUUUUUCCUUCCCGCACUCUCCUCUCCUCAUCGGUCAUUUCACCUGCCCUUCCAUCACCAUCAUCAUCAUUUCAUGCUCAUGCAGAUGUUGUUAAUGUUUUAGUACUAAUAACCUACUCUCUCUCUCUCUCCUCUCGUCACUCUCUCUCUCUCUCUCUCUCUUACUCUCACACCCAGUACUACCACCGAUCUCCACAGUCCCCACUAGCCAAAAAGGCAUCCGCCCAUCCUGCUCCAGCUAGAUAUCCUCCCUCCCCCCUCCUGCAUUUACUCUUCCUCAUCUCCUCAGCCCAAAAUUAUGCCUCCCUUAUCCCUCCUCCUCCUCCUCUCUCUCUUCUCCUCCUGCUCAACUUUUCCAUUGUCCUCACAUAUUAUUGCCACCACCGCACCUGCCACCCACAACCGCCGCAUCCUUCACCAACCCUUUCUCCCGCAAGGCUCGCUCCCACCGUCACAGCCUCCUAACCCUUCACCCCCCGCCCCCGCUACCCCCAAAUACCCGUUCUCUUCCACUUCCAAUUCCCCCAACAACACCCCAUUCUUCCCAUCCGUCCCCUCCCCUCCUCCGCCGCCUUCUCCAGCCUCCUACGCCUCCUUCCCUGCUAACAUCUCCUCCCUCAUCCUCCCUCAGCCUUCCAAGUCCAAACCUGCCUCCUCCAAGCUCAUCGCCGCCGCCAUCGCAGCCGUGGUCGCUGCCGCCAUUGUUGUCUCCCUCGCCGUCUUUUUGCACCUCCGCCGGAAAAGAAACCGCCGAGCUUCUAGCGAUGCUAAGACCCAUAGAUCCGACAACAGCACUCGAUUCCACUACCCCAAUGCCACUUAUUCCGCCAACGGAAGCGUCCCCAAGCUCCAGAGGCCAUCACAGACGAGCUCCGAGUUCCUCUAUCUGGGUACCUUGGUAAAUUCGCAUGGGGCCAUUGGUAAUACUAGUCCGCAGCAAAAUGCGCGCAGCAGUACUGCUGAUAGGAGUACUGCCAAUUCCAGAAAGCUGGACUCGCCGGAGCUACGGCCAUUGCCGCCGCUUAGUGGCCAGCAGAAUGCAAGCCGAAACCACAAAAAUGCCGAAGUGGGGUCCGCUGGGGACGAAGAAGAUGAAGAGUUUUACUCUCCUAGAGGGUCUUUAGGGGGCAGGGACAGCUCGAUCGGCACUGGAUCGGCAUCCAGGAGGGCAUUUGCUGCUGUAGAAGUGGAGAAUUUUGGUCGGUCGAGCUCUGCUUCGUACUCUUCUUCUAGUUCUGCCUCGGGCUCGCCGGUGAGGUCCGUUUCACUCAGCAUUUCGCCUCCAGUGAGUUUGAGUCCGAAAGCCUCGAGGCCCAAGUCGCCAGAGUUGGUUGCUCUUCAGACUGCGCCUUCCCCGCGGGCUCCACCACCUCCGCCAGCACCCCCGAUAUCGUUUUUCAAUGCCCCUUUUGUUGACCAAAGACUAUCGGCAUCGGCAUCGACAUCGCCGUCUCUGUCGCGAUCUCCGUCGCCUCCUAGUUCAUCAUCGCCCGAAAGAGUUUAUAGUCGAAGCAGGGAGACUUCCCCUAGAAUCUCAAACGUAUCCGAUCAGAAUUUGGAGUCUCCAGUGAUUAUUUGCAGUCCUGCUCAGCAAGCUACGCCUGUUUCCAUUCCAUCACCGCCUUCAACUGUUUCAGCCCCACCACCUCCUCCGCCGCCGCCUCCCACUGUUUCAAUCCCACCGCCUCCGCCGCCUCCACCGCCAAUUAAACACUGGGAAAGUCCCGCAACACCUUCGGCGGCAGCCAUUAGGAUAUUAACCGAACCACCAGCUAUAAUAACACCUUUAAGGCCUUUAUCUAUGCAGAACCCAACAGUAAUUUCACCUAUGCAACUGCCAUCAAAUUUGGAGGCUGUUGAAAAGACUGAGGAGACCAUCGAAACCCAGGGGCGUCCUGUUACUGAGAAUGUUGUGAAAGAUGAGGAAAAAAAUGAAGAGACCCCUAAACCAAAAUUGAAGCCAUUGCAUUGGGAUAAAGUCAGAGCAAGUUCUGAUCGCGAAAUGGUGUGGGAUCAACUGAAGUCCAGCUCAUUCAAGUAUGAUGACAUUCAAUCCUUAAAAAAGAGUGGUUUUGGCACAGUUUUUUUUUUUUUUUUUGGGUGGUAAUCUUGCAUAUCAAGUGAACAGACUGAAUUGGGUUCAAUGCAGGUUGGACGAAGAGAUGAUUGAGACAUUGUUUGUUGUGAAAACUCCAACUCAAGUUCCCAAGGAAACAACUCGAAGGCCAAUCCUUCCCUCACCAAGCCAAGAAAAUAGAGUGCUUGAUCCCAAGAAGUCGCAGAAUAUUGCCAUUUUACUGAGGGCCCUCAAUGUGACGGUAGAUGAAGUUUGUGAAGCUCUCAUUGAAGGUAAUCUUUUUCAUUUUCUGCGAACUUACGAAAUUGUGCAAAUUGUUGUUGACGCUGUUUCUUGCGUAAUUUCAUUUAAGUCAUGCACGAUAGAGCUUACCAGUUGAAAUAGCUUAAUUUAUAGAACGCAUAAUUACAAGAUGUAUUUCUGCUAACGCUUAUUUUUCAAUAGGCAGGUUUAAACGAAAAAGGUUUGUGGUUUUCUGUAUAUUGACGACCAUUACUUGUAUGGUUGAUUGGUUUGUUUGAACUCUUGUUGUAAUUAGAUGUCUUAGCAUUGCUUCUUAUUAUUUGCGGACUUAGCUGCUGCCCAUCAAAUGCUUCUGCGUCUUUGUCUUGCUCCUCAUUAUUCUGGUAAUUUGUGGUUACCACUUAGCAUGACCUUGAGAAUGGUCAUCUUCUUUUCCAGUGAUGUAGUGAAAAGUCUAUUAGUUGUUUCUGUCUGUGUUGCUCCAGUUUAUGUAUGUCAAUUUUCUAUCAAUAGUUUGUUUAUUUACUUUUUUACAUCUAAUGUCACCCUAUUAGCUGAAAUGCAGUUAUCUUAUUUUACAUAGUUUAAAGCCAUCUGGUAAUCACAAUGCUCAUAAUCCCUUAAAACUUCUACACAGGCAAUGCAGAUAAUCUUGGAACUGAACUCCUUGAGAGUUUAUUGAAGAUGGCUCCAACAAAAGAAGAGGAACGUAAGCUGAAAGAGUAUAAAGAUGAUUCUCCAUUUAAGCUUGGGCCAGCUGAAAAAUUUUUGAGGGCAGUGCUGGAUGUUCCUUUCGCAUUUAAAAGAGUGGAUGCAAUGCUCUACAUCUCAAGCUUUGACUCUGAGAUUGAGUACCUAAAAAGGUCAUUUGACACUUUAGAGGUAAUUUUACAUCAUUAUUGGCCUUUUGUGUAUUGAAAUUGCUUGCAAAUUCUGCCAAGUUUAAACCAAAGUGAAAUUAUCCGAUCUGAUUCUGUUGACAAAAGUUGAGGAAGCAAUAAUCUUGCACCAAAAAUGUUACUGAUAAUACAAAACAAAGAAUUAAAGUUGAUUUACGUAUCACAUUUUUUUUUAAUUUCUAUUGCUCUUGCAUUCUGUAUCUGUGAAGCUUUUUGAUGUUUGAAACCUAAAAUUACAUGGAAGCCACCUCUUAGCUAAGCUCCUUCCAACCUCUUUGAUGGAAAUUUUUAAAUUUUAAUAUCAGGGAGAAUCUGUACAUGCUGUCUGCAAUCAGACAUAACUACUGUAAAACAUUGAUCUUAAAUACCUUUAUGAAUAUUAGAUAUACUCAUUUAACACCUGUUAAUCCGUUGAAUGUUUGAAAAUUUCAAACAGGUUUUGUCUCUGACUUUGAGCGGGCAAACUUACCAGGGUAGUUCCAAUGUGUUUAGUUAAUUCAGCAAUUCAGGUCAAUCUAAUGCAUGUUAAGAUUAUUGUUGCUCGAGACAAGAUUGAUGGAAAUAUCUGAAAUUAUAAAAGCACCAGCUGCGAAAUGGAUAUUGUCCAUCUCUCAUCUCUUUAGGAGCUUUCUCAGAGUUAGAUCAACAAAAUCAAGCUUCUGAUUCUUUGCAUUCAUAUGAGCCAAGUCCUUAACAUUGUUGUAACUCUGC